UGCGUAGGCGGGUUUUUAAGUCAGAGGUGAAAUCCUGGAGCUCAACUCCAGAACUGCCUUUGAUACUGAGAAUCUUGAGUUCGGGAGAGGUGAGUGGAACUGCGAGUGUAGAGGUGAAAUUCGUAGAUAUUCGCAAGAAACACCAGUGGCGAAGGCGGCUCACUGGCCCGAUACUGACGCUGAGGCACGAAAAGCGUGGGGGAGCAAACA
rnacentral:rRNA from 1 species